rnacentral:misc_RNA from 1 species
GUGAAUCAUCGAAUUUUUGAACGCAAAUUGCGCUUCCUGGCAUCCCGGGAAGUAUGCCUGUUUGAGGGUCAGUAUUAAUAAAAAUCGGUGUGUUGCUUCUUUGUGACGCCCCGGAGUUGGGGUCAUCUUAAUAUCUUUUAGGUUUUAAGAGGCUUAAAAUUGACUUUUUUUGUGCAUUUUAGCUGUACAUAAAUUCUUUUUUUUAUUCGUCUGUCUUAAUGCUCAAAAUCCUAUUAGAUGUGACCAUAUCGUGUGGAUUCGUACCCUUAAAAU